rnacentral:lncRNA from 1 species
AUUCCAGGUUGACUCCACCAGCGAGAAUCACAGGUAGAACGGUCAGAGUAGCGGGAGGACUGGGAAGGUGGGAAGUGGGAGGACCGUCCAACAUGGCGCUGUGGAAAGCCAGCGCAGGGCCCCAGGGGAUCUUCCGGGGCGGAUGCAGCUGCCUAGGAGUGCUGGGGCUCGCGCGCCUCGGCGGCUCAAACUCUGACCCCUUGAGAUCCUUUCCAGCCCGACCCCUUACUUUAGGGGUCAGCCUGCCCCCAUGAGGAAGCUGAGGUUAAAGUCACUUGCCCCAGGUCACUCCGCAAGUUGAAGCGCAACCAGGAUACUCUGGAACAGGAUGCCUGACUUCAGAGGAGAGGCGCGUAACCACCAGGCAACUGGCCCCACGAAAACAAGUCCCGCAACUUCCCUUCUUUGGCUCCUACUUGCUCCCGGAAGAAAAGCCUUAAACGGUAUUCAAGCCCUUUAGGAUCUGAUGUCCUAGGACUCCACUCUGGGCUUCCAGCCUGGGGUGGUACUGGUCCCUAGGCAUGGAAGCUCCUCCCACUGCCCCUUCCUUCACCCGGCCACCUCCUCCCACAGGUGUCUUCCUGGUACUCUUGCACAGGCCCGAGUCCCUUACCACCACGGCCUUAGCCUGCUCUCGUGCUCUCAGUAAUGUUUUCUCCAUUUGCUGCCUUUCAUUCUUUCCAGAGAUUCUUGCUCAACCCAACCAGGCCAGCCCGGGGACUAGGGACAUGUAGGGACAAUAGUCCCUGCUUCAGGCAGUUCAGGGCAGACCACAGAGAUGUGACAUUACAGACCAUUGUGAGCAGAGGCCUUGUCCCAUUCUGUGUUGCAUCCCUAAGCCAGGAACAAAGUCCAGCCCAGGCCUGGCUCCAGGGGACACGCAGUAGUAUCCUCUGGCCUGUGCAAGUGUAUCUGUAGCCUCACAUGCCACCAUGUGAGUCUGCAAUCUGUCUGUGAAUGCCCUGGUGUAGAAGCCAGGAGUUUGGAGGUGGGAGGGAGCCCUACAGAAUGAUAGCCAGUGCUAACUCCUGGGAAUGUCCAGCCACUAAGACCUGCCCACAGCCCUGCCAUGCCAAUGUCCUCCUUUUCACGGGAGCAGCUUGCACAGACUUUCAGCGCACAGCUGGCAUUGUCUUCCCAGGAGCCAUCCUGUAACCCAGGCCAGGUGAAGGGCUCCUCCCUGGGACCCCACAGCCCCGUUCCCAUCAUCCUUUUGUGGUGAUCAAGGCACCCAUCACACAGUAUUGCCAUAAACCGGGUCAGGUUAACCUUUCAUUCCCUUAGGAGCUGGGUGGGGGCAGCCAAAAGUAUUUGUAGGAGGAAGAGAGAAAGGAGGGGACAGAGCUAGGAAGAAUGGGAGGACGGUCAGAACGCCCCUGUGAAGGAAGGAGAGCACCAAGUCCCCGUGUUCUGCCUACCCUCCCCCAGACAGCAGAUCAGGAGCACCCCGCGCGCCCCCCCCCGCCCCGCCCCGCGUCGGCGCCGGCCCCCUGCAAUGGUUGGCGGUAUGGGGAGGUGAACCAAGAAGGCCAGGAGUUCAAGUGCGUGAUCCCCCACUGGGGCAUAUAGGUUACAGCCGCCAGGGCAACUGAAACUCCUCAGGCUCCAGAGGGCUGAAGUGAGUCGCCUCCACGUUCUUGAGGUGCUUCCGAGCCAGGAACAGUGCGAGGCGCCGGCGCCGCCGCGAGCUCAGGCCCUGGCCCACCAGCCAUGGGAAGGCGGGUCCGUGUGGCCCCAGGGCCUCCUCGCCCUCCAGCUCCUCUUCGCAGCGUGCACGGUAGGAGCGCAGCAGCGCCAGGCACCAGUCCUCGUCCACGCGGUAGCGUGCAUAGAAGGCGGCCUCCUGCGCCAAGCUGCCAGCGCGCAGCCAGCGGGUGACGACGGCGCGGCCCUCUCGCGCCAUCACGACGGGGUAGCGGUGCUCCAGCAGGCGCAGCAGCAGCUCAUUGCCCCGGUUGCCCUCCACGUCACCAGGUGACAGGGGGCGCAGGCGGCCCGAAGUGCUGACCACGUCAUCCUGCGUGCGUCGGAGCAGCAGCACCGGCCCCGGGUAGCAGCACAGCUGCUCGGCCACGUUGAGGUUGAAGUGCUCGCGCACGGUGCGCACCACCAGCCCCUUCCAACUGUGGGGCAUGACCUUCAGCGCCAGCGGCACAAGGUCGUCGAAGGUGGCGUCCAGCACCAGUGCACCCAGCUCCGGGUAGGUCAUGGUGGCCCAGGUGGCCGUGAAGCCGCCAACAGACCAGCCGUAGACCACCAGGUGCGCGGGCGGGAAGUGCAGGCGGUGCAGUGCGUACUCGACCACCACGUCCAUGGCGUUGGCGUCGUGCUGAGGGAAGGGCACGCCAGUGCUGCUGCCGAAGCCGGGGUGGUUCCAGCCCAGCACGGAGUAGCCGGCCUCGAGCGGUGCAGACAGACAGCCCAUCUCGUAGAAGCCCGCGUUGCCUUCGCAGCAGAUGACGAGGCGCGGCCCGUGCACGUGGCUGCCCGGGUGCUGGCGGCGGUCCAUGAACAUAGUGUCGAUCUCGUUGCCGUCACAGGCCACCAGCUUGGCGCGCCGGCCGUGGUAGCGCUCCACGAGGCGCUCUUGGCCCUGCUGCAGCAGCGGCAGCAGCGCGCGCGUCAUCAGGGACACGGAGCCGGGGUACACGAGCCAGCGGCCCAGCGAGUGGGCCAGCGCGUAGCUAGCGAGCUGGCCGGGCAGCUCGCGGAGCUGCUGCAAGAGGCACUGCGCCUGGCUGCGCGCCCCACGUGGAGGCCGCCCCAGCGCAUCCCCGCCCAGCGUCUCGUCCCGCAGCAACCACACGCCCGCCGCGGCUGCCGCGCAGGUCAGCGCCCGGUGGCUGCUGCUCCGGCCCACGGCGCGCACGUCAUCCCAGCGGAAGGCCACGGGCCAGCCGCGGAAUGGGUAGGUGUAGCUGGCGGUCAGGUAGAUCUUGAACACGCGCACCAGCGCCUUCACGAAGCAGAUGACGCACAUGAGCGGUGGCCCUAACGCCCAGCCGCUGGGCCGGGAUCGCCGCGAGAGGCACAGGGCAGUCUUAGGGGAUACCGGCUCCCGGACAAGCCCUGAUGGCCUUUGUGACCUGGCCUUCCAGGGCGGAGGGAAGGCUGCAUCCUGUUGCUAGGUGAUGGGUGCACAAAGGGUUCCCAGAGAUGAUGAACCCAAGGUUCUGCCCGUCCCCCGCCUUCGCCAAGACCCCACCAGCUAAACGCUCCCAGGCCCAGCUUUCCCACCCAUGAUUUGAGCAGCUACUGUCUCCCUCUUUCUUCCUUAUUUAUUUAUUAAAUUGAGAUGGGGUCUCA